rnacentral:lncRNA from 1 species
UUCAUUUGAUUAAUGUGGUUAGUUAUGGGUAAAAUGAGCAAAUAUUUCAAAUAAGCAAGUGGUUAUAAAAUACUCAUUGUUGUCGGAGAAUAUUCGUUUGGUCGUGGAAUAUUCUUGCUGUCGGGGAAUAUUCGUACGACGGCGCAGCCUUGUGUGGGCCCAUAACGAAAAGCGAUUGGAUGAAGAAAACGACAAGUAUAAGUUAUUUAUAAAUAACGGCGUAGUUAUUACCGUUAAUACUGUUGGAAUACCCGGUGGUUAAAACACAGUUAUACGCAUUAUUGCACAGUAGCACACGGUAUUGCACCAAUUAUUAAUUUUACGUAAGAAGGCACUACUCAAUAAUUGUUACAGUAAUUACUGUUCAAUAUUUUAUUUUAUUGAUUCAAUAAUUGCUGCGUUGAUAUUUUAUAUUACUGUUGUUUCAAUAAUUGUCACUACACAGUAUUUUCCAUUAUCGAAGCAAUAAUUCAUAUUAUCUGAAUAAUAUUAU